GAUGAACGCUGGCGGCGUGCUUAACACAUGCAAGUCGAACGGAAAGGCUCCUGCUUGCAGGGGUACUCGAGUGGCGAACGGGUGAGUAACACGUGGGUGAUCUGCCCUGCACUUCGGGAUAAGCUUGGGAAACUGGGUCUAAUACCGGAUAGGACCGCAUUUUGGAUGGUGUGGUGGAAAGUUUUUUCGGUGUGGGAUGAGCUCGCGGCCUAUCAGCUUGUUGGUGGGGUAAUGGCCUACCAAGGCGUCGACGGGUAGCCGGCCUGAGAGGGUGUACGGCCACAUUGGGACUGAGAUACGGCCCAGACUCCUACGGGAGGCAGCAGUGGGGAAUAUUGCACAAUGGGCGCAAGCCUGAUGCAGCGACGCCGCGUGGGGGAUGACGGCCUUCGGGUUGUAAACUCCUUUCGCUAGGGACGAAGAGUCAUUGACGGUACCUGGAGAAGAAGCACCGGCUAACUACGUG
rnacentral:rRNA from 1 species